GCCGCUUCCGGCGCGUUGCCAUGGCUGCCGCCAUCAACUUCCGGCGUGCCGGGCGGGCGGAUUGCAGCGAGGGCUGUCCGCUGGCUGCCGUGAGGGACGGCCAUGCCUCCCAAGGCGGCCGACAAGCGCCGGCAGUUCCAUUCCAGGUGUGACAUCGGCAGUGACGUCACCGUUCCCCAAACUGCCACCCGUGACGCCACUGCGGGCAGCACAGAUCUUUUCCUCUGGGUUCACAGAACUACAGAAUCAUAAGGGCUGGAAGGGACCCCUGGAGAUCACCCAGUCCAACCCCCCUGCCAAGACAGGGUCACC
rnacentral:lncRNA from 1 species